rfam:Punica granatum cultivar Dabenzi scaffold34, whole genome shotgun sequence.
CUCGAGUGUGUGCUCCUGCAGUAAAUAUGGACGAACAGUAAAUGUGUGGGCUUUAGGUGGGCGUGCAAUGAGUGAAAUGCUGCCCAUAAAGAUCUACAUGACAGGC